rnacentral:lncRNA from 1 species
UUCAACUGCUCUUGAGAAAUCUCUCUGCCUCAAAGACUGCUCUGCCUGUGCUGACCUUAUUCACAAAGGUACAGAGGAAAAAGUAAAAUUACUACUUUAGAAACAUGAAGUAUUCAAAUGUUGGGAAAAGAAAGUUGUACAUUUAAGAAAGGGGGAAAAUGUUGAAAGGAAAGCAAGCAAUGGUAUAAAUUUUCUUCAGACCCACUCAUCAGUUUACCCUACCCAGCUACUUCAUUGUCUCACUGUUUUCAGAGAGUAAAUUAAUAUAUUUAUCAUCCAAUCAUUACAUUGAAAGAAAAGAACUGAU